CCUACGGGGGGCAGCAGUGGGGAAUAUUGCACAAUGGGCGCAAGCCUGAUGCAGCCAUGCCGCGUGUGUGAAGAAGGCCUUCGGGUUGUAAAGCACUUUCAGCGGGGAGGAGGGCGGUGAGGUUAAUAACCUCAUCGAUUGACGUUACCCGCAGAAGAAGCACCGGCUAACUCCGUGCCAGCAGCCGCGGUAAUACGGAGGGUGCAAGCGUUAAUCGGAAUUACUGGGCGUAAAGCGCACGCAGGCGGUCUGUCAAGUCGGAUGUGAAAUCCCCGGGCUCAACCUGGGAACUGCAUUCGAAACUGGCAGGCUAGAGUCUUGUAGAGGGGGGUAGAAUUCCAGGUGUAGCGGUGAAAUGCGUAGAGAUCUGGAGGAAUACCGGUGGGGAAGGCGGCCCCCUGGACAAAGACUGACGCUCAGGUGCGAAAGCGUGGGGAGCAAACAGGAUUAGAUACCCUUGUAGUC
rnacentral:rRNA from 1 species